rnacentral:misc_RNA from 1 species
UCCGAGUUGACCCCGGCAGUCUCCGAUGAGUCCCCGGCAUAACCCGCUGGCAACAUCGGACAAGGGUUGCGCUCGUUGCGGGACUUAACCCAACAUCUCACGACACGAGCUGACGACAGCCAUGCAGCACCUCGACUGGACCUCCUUGCGGAGUAACCAUGUUUCCAUGAUCGUUGACCAGCCGUUCGAGCCCAGGUAAGGUUCUUCGCGUUGCGUCGAAUUGAACCACAUGCUCCACCGCUUGUGCGGGCCCCCGUCAAUUCCUUUGAGUUUCAGCCUUGCGGCCGUACUCCCCAGGCGGGGUACUUAAUGCGUUAGCGCCGGCACUCAGAGGGUCGCUCCCCCAAGCACCUAGUACCCAUCGUUUACGGCGUGGACUAC